UCGGCAUGAGCGGCGGACGGGUUAGUAAUGCCUAGGAAUCUGCCUGGUAGUGGGGGAUAACGUCCGGAAACGUGCGCUAAUACCGCAUACUAUCAGAUGAGCCUAGGUCGGAUCAGCUAGUUUGUGGGGUAAAGUCCUACCAAGGCGACGAUCCGUAACUGGUCUGAGAUGAUGAUCAGUCACACUGGAACUGAGACACGGUCCAGACUCCUACGGGAGGCAGCAGUGGGGAAUAUUGGACAAUGGGCGAAAGCCUGAUUCAGCUAUGCCGCGUGUGUGAAGAAGGUCUUCGGAUUGUAAAGCACUUUAAGUUGGGAGGCGUUACCAACAGAAUAAGCACCGGCUAACUUCGUGACAGCAGCCGCGGUAAUUC
rnacentral:rRNA from 1 species